rnacentral:rRNA from 1 species
AUUGAACGCUGGCGGCAUGCCUUACACAUGCAAGUCGAACGGCAGCACGGGAGCUUGCUCCUGGUGGCGAGUGGCGAACGGGUGAGUAAUACAUCGGAACGUACCCUGAAGUGGGGGAUAACGUAGCGAAAGUUACGCUAAUACCGCAUAUUCUGUGAGCAGGAAAGAGGGGGAUCGCAAGACCUCUUGCUUUAGGAGCGGCCGAUGUCGGAUUAGCUAGUUGGUGAGGUAAAGGCUCACCAAGGCGACGAUCCGUAGCGGGUCUGAGAGGAUGAUCCGCCACACUGGGACUGAGACACGGCCCAGACUCCUACGGGAGGCAGCAGUGGGGGAAUUUUGGACAAUGGGCGCAAGCCUGAUCCAGCCAUGCCGCGUGAGUGAAGAGGCCUU